UCGCAAUAGACGGGGAGGUAGCGGUGCCUUGUAACCUGCAAUCCGCUAUAGCAGGGUCAAAUUCCUAUAGAAGGUCUAGUUAUGUGUGGUCAGUGUCUUUUGAAUGAUGUUGAUGUAAAAGCCUUUUACAAAGAAAAGCCUACGAAUAGGUCAGGUCCGGAAGGAAGCAGCCAUAAGGAGGACACAUUUCUUGUGUAAAGGGGCACUUUUACUGAGUCAAACGAAAGGUAACGCAUGGAUAAUUAGCUCGUAUAUAGGUUUGCGA
rnacentral:SRP_RNA from 1 species